UGGGUAUUCGCCAAGCGGUAAGGCAAUAGUUUCUGAUACUAUCAUGCACUGGUUCGAAUCCAGUAUACCCAG
rnacentral:tRNA from 1 species